rnacentral:tRNA from 1 species
GGGGAUGUGGUGUAGCGGUUAACAUGCAGCCCUGUCAAGGCUGAGAGCGCGGGUUCGAACCCCGUCAUCCCCGCCA